rnacentral:ncRNA from 1 species
UUUCUGUGAGGAUGCGGAAUACCAACACCUGGACAGAAAGCCCCUAUGAGGCUUUACUGUUCCCUGGGAUUGGCUUUGGGCCUUUCCUGCGAAGCUUAGGUGGAAGGCGAAGAAGGCCCCCUUCCGGGGGGGGGGCCCGAGCCAUCAGUGAGAU